GCCCCAUUAGCUCAGGGUUUAGAGCACUGGUCUAGUAAACCAGAGGUCCAGAAUUCAAAUCUCUGAUGAGGCU
rnacentral:tRNA from 1 species